UUGGUUAAGUUAGAAAGGGCGCACGGUGGAUGCCUUGGCACUAGGAGCCGAAGAAGGACGGGACUAACACCGAUAUGCUUUGGGGAGCUGUACGUAAGCGUUGAUCCAGAGAUUUCCGAAUGGGGGAACCCACUAUCUUUAGUCGGAUAGUAUCCUUACGUGAAUACAUAGCGUGAGGAAGGCAGACCCAGGGAACUGAAACAUCUAAGUACCUGGAGGAAGAGAAAGAAAAAUCGAUUUCCUGAGUAGCGGCGAGCGAAACGGAAAGAGCCCAAACCAAGAAGCUUGCUUCUUGGGGUUGUAGGACACUCUAUACGGAGUUACAAAAGAAAGUUAUAAAUGAAGUGGUCUGGAAAGGCCCGCCAAAGACGGUAACAGCCCGGUAGUUGAAAUGGCUUUCCCUCCAGAGUGGAUCCUGAGUACGGCGGAACACGUGAAAUUCCGUCGGAAUCCGGGAGGACCAUCUCCCAAGGCUAAAUACUCCCUAGUGACCGAUAGUGAACCAGUACCGUGAGGGAAAGGUGAAAAGCACCCCGGAAGGGGAGUGAAACAGUUCCUGAAACCGUGUGCCUACAAGUAGUUAGAGCCCGUUAAUGGGUGAUAGCGUGCCUUUUGUAGAAUGAACCGGCGAGUUACGAUUUGUUGCAAGGUUAAGCGGAAAAAGCGGAGCCGUAGCGAAAGCGAGUCUGAAUAGGGCGCAUAAGUAACAGGUCGUAGACCCGAAACCAGGUGAUCUACCCAUGUCCAGGAUGAAGGUAAGGUAAUACUUACUGGAGGUCCGAACCCACGCACGUUGAAAAGUGCGGGGAUGAGGUGUGGGUAGCGGAGAAAUUCCAAUCGAACUUGGAGAUAGCUGGUUCUCUCCGAAAUAGCUUUAGGGCUAGCCUCGAGGUAAAGAGUCAUGGAGGUAGAGCACUGUUUGGACUAGGGGCCCUUCUCGGGUUACCGAAUUCAGAUAAACUCCGAAUGCCAUGUACUUAUACUCGGGAGUCAGACUGCGAGUGAUAAGAUCCGUAGUCGAAAGGGAAACAGCCCAGACCACCAGUUAAGGUCCCCAAAUAUAUGUUAAGUGGAAAAGGAUGUGGGGUUGCUUAGACAACCAGGAUGUUGGCUUAGAAGCAGCCACCAUUGAAAGAGUGCGUAAUAGCUCACUGGUCGAGUGACCCCGCGCCGAAAAUGUACCGGGGCUAAACAUAUUACCGAAACUGUGGAUGAACCUCUUUAGAGGUUCGUGGUAGGAGAGCGUUCUAAGGGCGGUGAAGUCAGACCGGAAGGACUGGUGGAGCGCUUAGAAGUGAGAAUGCCGGUAUGAGUAGCGAAAGAAGGGUGAGAAUCCCUUCCACCGAAUAUCUAAGGUUUCCUGAGGAAGGCUCGUCCGCUCAGGGUUAGUCGGGACCUAAGCCGAGGCCGAUAGGCGUAGGCGAUGGACAACAGGUAGAGAUUCCUGUACCAGUGCUAAUUGUUUAACCGAUGGGGUGACACAGAAGGAUAGGGAAUCGCACGAAUGGAAAUGUGCGUCCAAGCAGUGAGUGUGAGAAGUAGGCAAAUCCGCUUCUCGCGAAGCAUGAGCUGUGAUGGGGAAGGAAAUUAAGUACGGAAGUUCCUGAUUUCACGCUGUCAAGAAAAGCCUCUAGGAAGAGUAGUACUGCCCGUACCGCAAACCGACACAGGUAGAUGAGGAGAGAAUCCUAAGGUGAGCGAGAGAACUCUCGUUAAGGAACUCGGCAAAAUGACCCCGUAACUUCGGGAGAAGGGGUGCUCUAUUAGGGUGCAAGCCCGAGAGAGCCGCAGUGAAUAGGCCCAGGCGACUGUUUAGCAAAAACACAGGUCUCUGCAAAACCGUAAGGUGACGUAUAGGGGCUGACGCCUGCCCGGUGCUGGAAGGUUAAGAGGAGUGCUUAGCUUCGGCGAAGGUACGAAUUGAAGCCCCAGUAAACGGCGGCCGUAACUAUAACGGUCCUAAGGUAGCGAAAUUCCUUGUCGGGUAAGUUCCGACCCGCACGAAAGGCGCAACGAUCUGGGCACUGUCUCAACGAGAGACUCGGUGAAAUUAUAGUACCUGUGAAGAUGCAGGUUACCCGCGACAGGACGGAAAGACCCCGUGGAGCUUUACUGCAACCUGAUAUGGAAUGUUUGUACCGCUUGUACAGGAUAGGUAGGAGCCGAAGAGACGUGUGCGCUAGCAUACGAGGAGGCAAUGGUGGGAUACUACCCUGGCUGUAUGACCAUUCUAACCCGCCACGCUUAGCGCGUGGGGAGACAGUGUCAGGUGGGCAGUUUGACUGGGGCGGUCGCCUCCUAAAGAGUAACGGAGGCGCCCAAAGGUUCCCUCAGAAUGGAUGGAAAUCAUUCGC
rnacentral:rRNA from 1 species